rnacentral:rRNA from 1 species
UACGUAGGGGGCAAGCGUUAUCCGGAUUUACUGGGUGUAAAGGGAGCGUAGACGGCAGAGCAAGUCUGAAGUGAAAGCCUGCGGCCCAACUGCGGGACUGCUUUGGAAACUGCCCGGCUAGAGUGCUGGAGAGGUAAGCGGAAUUCCUAGUGUAGCGGUGAAAUGCGUAGAUAUUAGGAGGAACACCAGUGGCGAAGGCGGCUUACUGGGCAGUAACUGACGUUGAGGCUCGAAAGCGUGGGGAGCAAACAGG